ensembl:snRNA U6 U6 spliceosomal RNA
GUGCUUGCUUUGGCAGCACAUAUACUAAAACUGAAGUGAUACAGAGAAGAGUAGCAUGGCCCCUGCACAAGGAUUACAUGCAAAUUUGUGAAGUGUUCCGUAUUUCU